rnacentral:rRNA from 2 species
GAUGAACGCUGGCGGCGCGCCUAACACAUGCAAGUCGAACGGUUAAAGCACCUUUUAGGUGUGUAUAAAGUGGCGAACGGCUGAGUAACACGUGGGCAACCUGCCCUCCUCUUGGGGAUAGCCUCGGGAAACCGAGGAUAAUACCCGAUACUUCAAUGUGGCCGCAUGGCGACAUUGAGAAAGCUUUUGCGGAGAAGGAUGGGCCCGCGGCCUGUUAGCUUGUUGGUGGGGUAGAGGCCUACCAAGGCAAUGAUGGGUAGCUGGGUUGAGAGACCGACCAGCCAGAUUGGGACUGAGACACGGCCCAGACUCCUACGGGAGGCAACAGUGGGGAAUCUUGCACAAUGGGCGAAAGCCUGAUGCAGCGACGCCGCGUGCGGGACGAAGGCCUUCGGGUUGUAAACCGCUUUCAGCAGGGACGAGGCGAUAAGUGACGGUACCUGCA